rnacentral:rRNA from 1 species
CUCAGAUCAUGUAAGAUUUUAAUGAUCGAACAGAUCAAAAUUUUAAACUUUUGCAUUUAAAUUUUAUCUUAAUCCAACAUCGAGGUCGCAAACUUUUUUUUUUAUUUGAACUAAAAAAAAAUAUUACGCUGUUAUCCCUAAGGUAAUUUUUUCUUAUAAUCAUUAAUAAUGGAUCAUUUAAUCAUUUAUUUAUGUUUAAUUUUUAAAAAAAGUUCAUUAAAUUUUUCUAUCACCCCAAUAUAAUAAUUAAUUUUAUUUUAAUAAAAAAUUUAAUAUAACUUUAAAAUAAAAAUAAAUAUAAAACUCUAUAGGGUCUUCUCGUCUUUUAAAAUUAUUUUAGCUUUUUAACUAAAAAAUAAAUUUCUAAAAAUAAAUAAGAGACAGUUUAUAUUUCAUCAAAUCUUUCAUACAAGUUUUCAAUUAAAAAACUAUUGAUUAUGCUACCUUUGUACAGUCAUUAUACUGCAGCCCUUUAAUAAUUAUCAGUGGGCAGAUUAGACUUUAAAUUAUAAUCAAAAAGA